GAAUGAAUGAUAUGAUACAUAGAGUAGAUAGUAGAGAGAAGAAGUGGAUCCCACCACCCAUGUGCCUUCUUCCUGUCUCCACCAGCUCCUGCCGCUCAAUCAUUAGACCUCUGUUCCCUCUUUCUCUAUCACUCACUCACUCAACUUCAUCAACCUCUUCUUCACAACAUUAAUUCAUCAACUCCUAUUACUACUAUUACUACUCCCACCACCCUUACCCUAAACUCACCCCCUCCCUAAAAUGUCUAACACCGACGGAACUCCAACAACCACUAACGGCUCCAUCAUUGACCCUCACCGUCAACAGUUAGCCGUCAAGAAACCGCCGUCAAAAGACCGUCACAGCAAAGUAGACGGCCGAGGCCGCCGUAUUCGCAUGCCAAUCAUUUGCGCCGCACGCGUCUUCCAACUCACCCGCGAAUUAGGUCACAAAUCCGAUGGUCAAACCAUCGAGUGGCUCCUCCGUCAAGCCGAACCCUCCAUCAUCGCCGCCACCGGGACCGGAACUACUCCGGCGAGUUUCUCCUCUCUCUCCGUUUCACUUCGUGGCUCCAAUAAUUCUCUCCCCUCUCCUUCCUCCACUUCGCUUGACCAUAAACCGCUUCUCUCUCCCUCUCCUUUCAUUCUCGGGAAACGUAUACGCACCGAUGACGAUUCGUCUUCUCCGUCGGGGAACAACGCGAAAGACGACGCGCUUUCUGUUGCUUCUCUUUCUACACCGGCUGCUCUUUGGGCGUUACCUACACGGCCUGAUUUUGGUCAAAUUUGGAGCUUCGCUGCCGCGGCUGCUGCUGCUCCUCCGCCGGAAAUGGUAGUUCAGUCUAUGUCUCAGCAGCAGCAUCAGCAUCAAGCGAAUUUCUUCGCUCAUCAUCAUCAUCAGCAACAGCAGCAACAAGCUAUGGGAGAAGCUUCGGCUGCUAGAGUUGGGAAUUAUCUUCCUGGACAUUUGAAUUUGCUUGCUUCCUUGUCUGGUGGACAUGGAAAUUCCGGUCGGAGAGACGAUGAACAUCAUUGAUUGUGGUGGAGUUGCAGUGGUGGCGACGGCGGUGGUGGUGUUUUCUUGGUAUAUAUAAUUAUUCAGUGUUGUUAUGGAUGUUGCUUUUUGAUGUGUGGAAAGUAGAAGAAUUAGGGUUUAGUUUUUUUUGUUCCUUUGGUUUUGAGUGGAGAAGUCCAUCUAUCAAGGAAUUCAAUUAGGGAUUUUUCUUCCUUAUGGUUUGGAAGAUUGAUUAAUUAGUCUUCUUUUUAUUUUAGAUGUUCAAAUUUGUUUUAGAUUAUGGGGUUUUGAAGAGAAAAAAUAUGAUUUUUAUUUAUGUGAUGUGAUAGUGGUGGUGGUGAUAAAUUGGAUUGAGGCUGGAAUAGGUUUUCAGAACCUUAAUCAUUGGUAGAAUUCGUUUUUGAUUGUUGAGUUGAAAGCUCUCCAAGCUUGGAUGUUGAUGGAAUGCUGAGUUAAUGGCUUCUGUUUCACUUUCUUAGUGGGUUUUGAGUUUUGACUGAUAAGUUAUUGUUGCUAUUGAAGAAGUAAUUAGUGGUUGAAACUUGAAAGCUUGUUUCUGAGCUUGAGUGAGUCAAUUCAAUUGUUGUGUUUCUCAAGUUCGAAGGGCAUUCCCAAUUUGUUGGAUUGGAUUGGAGGAUCCUACUUUUCCAACAUAUGCUUGUAUCUUGGUCUUGGCUGCAUGGUUUGAGAUUAAGAGAAAUUUGGGGUCCAUUUAAAGUGGCGUAACAAAUGCAUGUUUUGAUUAUGACACAGCUGCUGUUAGUGAAUGGAGAAUCUUGAGUUUUCUGGCAGUUUGUCAUUUACAUUUGGCUAGCAAUUUCAGUAUUUAAAGAAAGAUAAGGUUAGGUACAAGUUGUAUUCAUGUCUUAAAUAUACUAAAACAAUAAGGAUCCUGCAUACAGUACAUGGUAUAGUUACUAUUUUUGAUGUUUCACCUUGGGUGAAAACUUGGAGUAACAAAUAUGAUGUUUGAUUUAUUGUUACUCAAUAAUGGCUCAUUUAAACUGGUUGUUAGGAGUAUGUCUUUGACUUUUAAGGCCACACACACAUUCUUGAAAAUUACUCCAUGUGCAGUUUCUCACUGGCUUUCCCCAUGCCAUGCAUUUCAUCAUUUUCCUCACACAAAAAACAUAUAAGACAGUGUUCUGACCUCUGAGUUUAUUUGAGAACAGGAUUGGUUGAUUGGAUGAAUGGUGUCUUUAAAGCAUGUAACUUAAAAUUCAUCUCUAAAAUAUCUAGCAUCUUAGAGGCAUAUUAGCUAUGUAGCACUGACACCUAUAAAAAAAUGUGUCCGUGUCCAUGUCGGUCUGACACUGAUACCCAUGAAAAAAUGCAUGUCCGUGUCCAUGUCGGUCUUACACUGAGAUCCAUGAAAAAAUGCAUGUCUGUGUCCAUGUCGGUUUGACACUGACAUUUGUGGUCACGUUUAAUUUAUUUAUUUUUUAAAUUAUUACCAGUGUCGCCGAGACAGGUUAGUAUUGUGUUCGGAAUGUCCUUACUAGUAGCAUAUUAAUAAUUUAAAUACCAUACUAGAAGGUAGGUUGAUUAGGUAGAUGGCAUCCUGUAAACUAGACAUGUUUGGAUUCGCACUGAGUUUGAUAAAAUCAAAGCCAAUAGUCAUGAUUCUGUUGAACUCACUCCCAUUCUAAACAUGCACUUAUCUGUUAAAAAAAAUAUAGAUAUUGCAUUCAAGCUUCAAUUCUACAUUGUUAAGUAGUAUUUGCAAGUACAAUUAUUGUAUUUGUUUGUUACGCCAGUUUGGCAAUGUAUAUGUGUCUAUAAUAAUGUAUUGGUGUUACUAUCCGAAUAGAUAAGGAUUUUUGGAUAACAUGAGAUAUGGAAGAUGGAGAAGGUUGAGUAUACCAACUCAUCAUAUUUGUUUAUUUUUGUAUUUUUCUGAGCAAGAAUCAUUGGUGGGGUAUUCAAAUUUAGUGAUGCCAACAUGUUUUCUUAAUUAUUAUUGCUAAACAGAAGAGUCAGCUCCUAAUAAUUGUUGGGUCCCUUCAUGGAGUUACAUGUCGAGGUGAAACAAGUUAUGUUAAAUUCCAUGUUAUGUACUAUGAUUUAUUUAGGAACGUAUUUAAAUUAAACCAUCGUAUGAUGGACGUUUUGAACUUACUUGGAAACUGAUUUUGGACCCAUUUUACUUUUUCGUAAUGUCGAUUCAUUUGAGUUACGUCAUAUAGCCAUGAAAAUUGUAACAUUAUGUGUUUGUGGACCGUGAACAAUUUGCAUUUGUUAGGUAUAUAAUAGGGUUUUUGUGUGUGUUUCAUGCCAUCUUUCAAAUAGUAACUGAAAGGCUAACAAAGGAAUCUUAUGAAUCAACACCUUUUUUUUUGCAAUUGAAAUUGACACUUAAAAAGUUGUUUUUUGGUGUACACUUAUGAUAACAAUCGUGUUAAAAGUUUCGUAAACUACUAGAAUCUCCUAUCACUAAUGUGAUCCUAGUAGUUACUGACUUAAAGUAGUUGCCAUCAUAACAAUGUUUUAUACUCCCUCUGAUCCUAAUAGUUACUACAACUCAAAAGUAGUUGUCAAUGUUUCAUAUUCCUUUCACUUUUUAGGUCUUGCUAACCAGUGUCUUUACGACGCUCUUUAAGAAUAUCUUUAAGAAUAUUAAAUAAGAAAAAUAUUCUUUACAAAAAUUAAUAUUUUAAUUUUAAUGCAUUGGAUACACACAUUUUUAAAAAAGUUUACUAUUUUAAUCACUUAAAGAGUGUCUCAAGGGCGCUCGUUAGCAUUUUCCUUAAAUUAUAGGUCACUUUGUAAAAAAUAAAUAAUCAAAUUAGUGUUAUAAAAUAAGAAGAAAAAAGAUAAAUGAGAAGAGAGAAAGAUGAGAACAAUUCUGUAUUAUUUCAUAGGUCUCCAUGAAAUGGUUGUACCACCACAUGUAAACAAAUAAUCUGUUUGUGAUCUACCAUUAUAAGAAUCUUGACAAGUAAUAUGCAUCUGUAUAA